rnacentral:tRNA from 1 species
UGGGAGGUGGUGUAAUGGCAACACGCGGGACUCUGGAUUCCGUUAUGAAGGUUCGAAUCCUUCCCUCCCAGCCA